GCAAAGGUAAAAGGAAAUGUACAUUUUUGUUUUUAGUUUUGUGUUUUAGCAUAUUUACCAAACCAGAACAAAAAAAAUAAAUAUUUAUUGUUUUGGUCAGUGAAAAAACAUUGCUCUGCAAAAUUAGGUCAAGCCUUUGACCGAAAAAAGGACGAGGCCCAGCUCGAAAGGCAAGGACACUGUGAAUUUCAUUGCAAGAAGCCAAGAAGCCCUAUGAUGACACCAUUGCCCAUUUCCAGCUCCUUGUCUCCGUACGUUCUACACGUGUCAUCCUCAUAUUUCAUUGGACCACCGGUGGGACCAUCUAGGAGAACGAACUACAUCCCUUCACCUGUCCGUUGCAGGCUAACCAGGGACCGCUGCCAGCAAAAGAAAAUAAAUAUUUAUUUUUAUAAAUUAUGAACUCGAUUUUCUAUAUUCAAUCACUGGUUUAUGUUAAUUACAUUUCAAGGCAUUUUCUCACUUUAAUUAAAUAUAUAAUAAUGAUUUCUGAUUUUCUCAAAUAGCGACUUGAUUAAUUUUUUUGUAUAUCAAAUACUGAACCCACUAUUUAAUUUCAAAACUUCACCUAACCUUGACUAACUAGUGCUAUAGGUAAGUUAAGUUGGUUUAAGUAGCAAUGCCUAAGCAUUUUUGGGGCACUAUUAAAUUGAAUAUGGGUUUUUAUUCUGUCGGUAGGAGGAAAUAGGAAUCAUUCAAAAUUACAUGUUGCAACAGCUACUGGUUGAAUGAAGCCAAGGAGCCAAAUUCAUUCAUUGCUGAGUUUGAACUUUGAAACCCAUUAAAGUUGACCCAAAUGGUCCCGGCUUGCCCCCUCUUACUCAGCAUAGCUUGAACAGCUUUUUGCUACGAACACUCGGCCAUCAAUAAUGAAAAAUUCCAUGUAUCUUACACUACAAGUCGAAGGAUCUGACUAAGAGACCACCUUCUCUACAUGUAAUAGAUAGGCCAUUUGAUAUGCUCAAGAUUUUUCUUGUAAAGUGUGGGAUGACAUGUCUCAUGGUUUUUGGUAAUAAAAAAUUCAACAUUUUCAACCUUAGCCUACCCUAAUUAAGCUCCAAGUUCCCUCGUGAUGUCAACAUGGUGUUCAAGCUUUGUCAAUUCGGUGCUAAAUAGUUUAUUGUUAAUAACAUAGAUUUUAGUAACAAGUUCAACGGUUUACUGUAUUCAUCGAUGUUUAAACAGUUUAACAGGUACAUAUAAAUACUUAUUCAGGAAGAUAAAAUAUAUUGAUUAUAAAUAUCAUUUUAAUAAAUAUUUAUUAGUUCUUUUUAACUUUUAUAAUUGAUUUUUCCAUAAAGUUUUGAAACCUUCAAUCUCAAAGCCCAGGUUUAAUAGCUUGGGCUCUAGAUCCUAACCAUGUUAAAUCCAAUCUGCUAUGAUUCUCUUAAUUUUGCUCUUGUUUGUUCUACUCUUCUAGCCUACUAGACUAGCUUAGUUUGUUAAUUAAGCCCCGGUUUUAGCAGUAAGCCGUGAUCAACCAUGCAGUGGGCGCUAAGAUUUGCCUGCAAAGGAUGAUGAGGGGCAAAACAAAACCUCCCUUACCGUACCAUCAUUGGCAGCAUGUAGCUUUGCUCCUAGUUACAGACAGUAU
rnacentral:lncRNA from 1 species